rnacentral:misc_RNA from 1 species
UACGUAGGGCGCGAGCGUUAUCCGGAAUUAUUGGGCGUAAAGAGCUCGUAGGCGGUUUGUCACGUCUGCUGUGAAAGCCCGGGGCUUAACCCCGGGUGUGCAGUGGGUACGGGCAGACUAGAGUGCAGUAGGGGAGACCGGAAUUCCUGGUGUAGCGGUGAAAUGCGCAGAUAUCAGGAGGAACACCGAUGGCGAAGGCAGGUCUCUGGGCAUUAACUGACGCUGAGGAGCGAAAGCAUGGGGAGCGAACAGG